UACGAAGGGGGCUAGCGUUGCUCGGAAUUACUGGGCGUAAAGCGCACGCAGGCGGCUGAGUCAGUCGAUUGUGAAAGCCCUGGGCUUAACCUGGGAAUUGCAGUCGAUACUACUCAGCUAGAGUAUGGGAGAGGGUAGUGGAAUUCCCGGUGUAGCGGUGAAAUGCGUAGAUAUCGGGAGGAACAUCAGUGGCGAAGGCGGCUACCUGGCCCAAUACUGACACUCAGGUGCGACAGCGUGGGGAGCAAACAGG
rnacentral:rRNA from 1 species